UGCCAGCCGCCGCGGUAAUACGAAGGGACCUAGCGUAGUUCGGAAUUACUGGGCUUAAAGAGUUCGUAGGUGGUUGAAAAAGUUGGUGGUGAAAUCCCAGAGCUUAACUCUGGAACUGCCAUCAAAACUUUUCAGCUAGAGUAUGAUAGAGGAAAGCAGAAUUUCUAGUGUAGAGGUGAAAUUCGUAGAUAUUAGAAAGAAUACCAAUUGCGAAGGCAGCUUUCUGGAUCAUUACUGACGCUGAAUUACGAAGGCGUAGGUAGCGAACAGGAUUAGAUA
rnacentral:rRNA from 1 species